CCAGACUCCUACGGGAGGCAGCAGUGGGGAAUAUUGGGCAAUGGGCGCAAGCCUGACCCAGCAACGCCGCGUGAAGGAAGAAGGCUUUCGGGUUGUAAACUUCUCUUCUCAGGGACGAAGAAAGUGACGGUACCUGAGGAAUAAGCCACGGCUAACUACGUGCCAGCAGCCGCGGUAAUACGUAGGUGGCAAGCGUUAUCCGGAUUUAUUGGGUGUAAAGGGCGUGUAGGCGGGAGCGCAAGUCAGAUGUGAAAACUCAGGGCUCAACCCUGAGCCUGCAUUUGAAACUGUGUUUCUUGAGUGCUGGAGAGGCAAUCGGAAUUCCGUGUGUAGCGGUGAAAUGCGUAGAUAUACGGAGGAACACCAGUGGCGAAGGCGGAUUGCUGGACCGUGACUGACGUUGAGGCUCGAGAGCGUGGGGAGCAAACAGGAUUAGAUACCCGUGUAAC
rnacentral:rRNA from 1 species